AUUGCCAUCUCAUUCUUCUAAUUGUUAAUGCUUUUUGCUGAAAGACAGAAUUGAAUUACGAUGAAAAAAGAACUUGAAAGUAUUUCUGAUUGAACCAUAUGUGUCUAUUUCAAGUUAUUGAGCUUAGUUUGUAAUGCAGUUAUCUGUCCAAGUUACUGAACUUAGUUUCCAAAAACAGCCAGCAUUUCCACGCAAACUAGAGAGAUUAUUAAGUACCCACAAAUUUGGAAGUCACAAAGGACUAGACGAGCAGCUAAGUGUGAAAAGGACUAGAUCAUACUCUAUAAUGCCCGAAACUUUUAUUGAAAUUAAAAUUUUAGCCAUCUUUGUAUACUUUUCUAUAGAUUCUUAUUUGCUGCAAUACCUACUUCAUCAAGGAUUACUGGAUAAUAAGUUGCAGAUUGCAUCUGCUUGAAAGGCCAUUGCUAAGCAGAUGUGUUGUCAUAAAGAAGGCAUAAUUAUUAUUCUGUAUGUUAAACAGCACCACAGGAAGAUGGCAAGAUAUCUUAUAAGCUAUGGAAAUUCGAACCUAUUCAUUAAAGAAAUAGAGAACUUGUUUCCCAGCGCAAAAGAAUGUGACAGAGCUUCUGUUCCAGCUAUUCACAAUUCUGGGAUGGGGUUUUCUUAUACAAUUUUCAUUUUAUGGGAGGCUUUCAAAAUGCUGCUAGUUGUAGCUUCUUUGAGCUUAAUAUUGGACAUUUUGCUGUUUCUUUCUCCCUUUUAUGGUUAUAUGAGCUUGAUAAAGGGAUAUGACCAUUUUUGGAUCUUAAGUGGCCAUCUUUAGGAUGGUAGGUAUAAUGCAAAUGUAAGUGGAUGAGUUCCUAGUUAGAAACAUAUACAAAGUUGUCAUGUACCAGUAUUAAUUGUUAGCCACAAGUAUGGAUUGUGCUAAUUGUAGAGGCUGUGAUUGUUUGUAAGUAGCUCAAUUGUAAUCUGUGUAUAUAAAUACCAGUUGAUGUUGCAAGAGUAUCCAAUUGAUAGCAGCCAAUUGCAAACUGUUUUUCUUUCAA